rnacentral:rRNA from 1 species
CUACCAUGCAAGGAACGAUGAACCGCUUUCGGGCGGGGAUUAGUGGCGAACGGGUGAGUAACACGUGGGCAAUCUGCCCUGCACUCUGGGACAAGCCCUGGAAACGGGGUCUAAUACCGGAUAUGACUGUCCGCCGCAUGGUGGAUGGUGUAAAGCCGGCGGUGCAGGAUGAGCCCGCGGCCUAUCAGCUUGUUGGUGAGGUAGUGGCUCACCAAGGCGACGACGGGUAGCCGGCCUGAGAGGGCGACCGGCCACACUGGGACUGAGACACGGCCCAGACUCCUACGGGAGGCAGCAGUGGGGAAUAUUGCACAAUGGGCGAAAGCCUGAUGCAGCGACGCCGCGUGAGGGAUGACGGCCUUCGGGUUGUAAACCUCUUUCAGCAGGGAAGAAGCGAGAGUGACGGUACCUGCAGAAGAAGCGCCGGCUAACUACGUGCCAGCAGCCGCGGUAAUACGUAGGGCGCAAGCGUUGUCCGGAAUUAUUGGGCGUAAAGAGCUCGUAGGCGGCUUGUCACGUCGGUUGUGAAAGCCCGGGGCUUAACCCCGGGUCUGCAGUCGAUACGGGCAGGCUAGAGUUCGGUAGGGGAGAUCGGAAUUCCUGGUGUAGCGGUGAAAUGCGCAGAUAUCAGGAGGAACACCGGUGGCGAAGGCGGAUCUCUGGGCCGAUACUGACGCUGAGGAGCGAAAGCGUGGGGAGCGAACAGGAUUAGAUACCCUGGUAGUCCACGCCGUAAACGGUGGGCACUAUGUGUGGGCAACAUUCCACGUUGUCCGUGCCGCAGCUAACGCAUUAAG